UUGAUCCUGGCUCAGGACGAACGCUGGCGGCGUGCCUAAUACAUGCAAGUUGAGCGCUGAAGGUUGGUACUUGUACCAACUGGAUGAGCAGCGAACGGGUGAGUAACGCGUGGGGAAUCUGCCUUUGAGCGGGGGACAACAUUUGGAAACGAAUGCUAAUACCGCAUAAAAACUUUAAACACAAGUUUUAAGUUUGAAAGAUGCAAUUGCAUCACUCAAAGAUGAUCCCGCGUUGUAUUAGCUAGUUGGUGAGGUAAAGGCUCACCAAGGCGAUGAUACAUAGCCGACCUGAGAGGGUGAUCGGCCACAUUGGGACUGAGACACGGCCCAAACUCCUACGGGAGGCAGCAGUAGGGAAUCUUCGGCAAUGGACGAAAGUCUGACCGAGCAACGCCGCGUGAGUGAAGAAGGUUUUCGGAUCGUAAAACUCUGUUGGUAGAGAAGA
rnacentral:rRNA from 1 species